rnacentral:rRNA from 1 species
UACAGGGGGUGCAAACGUUGCUCGGAAUCAUUGGGCGUAAAGCGCACGUAGGUGGUUGCUUAUGUCGGAUGUGAAAGCCCUUGGCUUAACCAAGGAAGUGCAUCCGAAACUGGGCAGCUGGAGUACGAGAGAGGAUCGUGGAAUUUCCGGUGUAGAGGUGAAAUUCGUAGAUAUCGGAAGGAACAUCUGUGGCGAAGGCGACGAUCUGGUUCGAUACUGACACUGAGGUGCGAAAGCGUGGGGAGCAAACAGG